UACGUAGGGUGCGAGCGUUAAUCGGAAUUACUGGGCGUAAAGUGUGCGCAGGUGGCCGCGCAAGUCGAGUGUGAAAUCCCCGAGCUUAACUUGGGAAUUGCGCUCGGAACUACGUGGCUCGAGUGUGGCAGAGGAAGGUGGAAUUCCACGUGUAGCGGUGAAAUGCGUAGAGAUGUGGAGGAACACCGAUGGCGAAGGCAGCCUUCUGGGACAACACUGACGCUCAUGCACGAAAGCGUGGGGAGCAAACAGG
rnacentral:rRNA from 1 species